AAUGCUCCAGUUUGUUUCCUUAUACUUUCAGCUAGAAGUCCACAUCAGUAGUGAUGGCAACAUGCAGAUUGGGUGAGGCAAGUCCUGAACCUUGACCAACAGCUUUAAAAGGUUUUCAGUGUGAUGAGGCUGUACUCCUUAACCAGUCACUUUAAUUCCUGAGUGAAUGGAGUCCCACUCAGAAAGUCCUGUCCCUACAUGCUGGAGGAUGAUGCAGCCUGUGUGGAAAUUAUCUAACGAUGACAUACGAAGACUCAAUGAGGAUUGAAUACACGAGAUGAAUGUUAUUGAGGACAGGAAUAAUGACCUGAAAGAGAGAGAGACCAAGAAA